AGGGGACAUGGGAGGGGGGGCAGAGCUGUCCCUUCACGCUCUUUCCAGGCCCCCGCCUGGAAAGUCGUGCCACAGGAUGUCAGUGCAGCCUGUGGGAAGGCCCUGCCUCCCGAAAGAAACCAAUCUCUCCUCUCAAGAGCACACAGGAAGAUCUCUUUCCCAGAAUAUCUUAUUUAGGAAACUUGCAUCACAGCAAGCAGCAAAGCAGAAUGCUUAUUUGGGAAAAAGAAAAUGAGAUGUGGCCCCAAGUCAGCGCUUGCCUGUAGGCUCUGUGGCAGAAAGUUUGAGGAGGCAGCAGAGGCAGCUGCUGGCUCACAGGACCAAAGGCAGAGCUGGGUGGGCUGGAGACCCAGCUGGUGUUUGCUGCCUGUGCCAUAUCCUCCAGUACUGGCUGAGGAGCUCUAAGGUAUCAGGGAUUUUCCUGUUACAACACAAAGGGAUCAGCUAGAUUAGCUUCUGCAGAGCUCCUGUGGUUUUUCAUGGCUGUGAAUGCAGAGGAGCUGUUCCAGGGAUAGGCAAGUGAUUCUCGGCUUCAGUGGGGAAAGCAAAGGGAUCACACUGCGGUCACUAGAAGCAGGCAGCUUGCAAUCAGCACGGCUGUUUGAAGAAGGUCUCAUGGUCACAUCCCAGAUGAGGCUCUGUAGUCACGGACAGCUUCUGGCAGUACGAGGUGCAAAUGAAUGCUACAUCAGGAAGACACAUUUCUCUGGAGAGCAUCUGCUUCUGCAGUUUCCAAAGACAUCCUUUAUUUGUGAAUGUAUCUUCUUGUACAUGAACCUGUGACUUGUCUGAGUCUCGUCUUAUUGGAAUUGCACAUCAGAAUUAUCUUUUAUUGUUCUUUCGGUCACGUUUCUCUCUGUGACAGAUUAUUGUAUUUUCUGUUGGCUUUGAUAUUUUUUAAUUGAUCGCUGAAGGACCAAAUCCAGAUGCUGGGUACAUUCUUGAUGAGGUGGGUAUUGAAGUACUUUGGUAUAUAGAUUGUCAUUGUUUUCAACCUUUUGCCUUGAUCAUUUGCUCUUGCAGAACUCAUUUCUUUCAGUACUUUUAGAGCCCAUGGGAGGUGCUAAAUAAACACUUCAAACUAUAAUAAAAGUCACUGGCCAACUGUGAGGUGCUAAAAUUAAGUAAAAUGCCCAGCAUCGCAUAGGUAAGCAGAACAACUGUUUUUCUCUUCCUUUGUUGUCCUGAUUAAUUUACAGCACAUCAGAUCAGGCUUUUACAUUUUGCCUACCUGCAGAGCUUCCUACUGGAGC